rnacentral:rRNA from 1 species
GACGAACGCUGGCGGCGUGCUUAACACAUGCAAGUCGAACGAAGUGGCGAACGGGUGAGUAACGCGUAAUCAACCUGCCCUUCAGAGGGGGACAACAGUUGGAAACGACUGCUCAUACCGCAUACUGAAGGAGGGGCUUGCGUGUGAUUAGCUAGGUGGCGGGGUAACGGCCCACCAAGGCGAUGAUCAGUAGCCGGUUGGGGAGGAUGAACGGCCACAAUGGGACUGAGACACGGCCCAGACUCCUACGGGAGGCAGCAGGGGGGGAUCUUCCGCAAUGGAGGAAAGUCUGACGGAGCAACGCCGCGUGAGUGAUGACUGGCUUCGGGUUGUAAAGCUCUGUUAAUCGGGACGCGGUACCGGAAUAGAAAGCCACGGCUAACUACGUGCCAGCAGCCGCGGUAAUUC